GAUGAAGAACGUAGCGAAAUGCGAUACUUGGUGUGAAUUGCAGAAUCCCGUGAACCAUCGAGUUUUUGAACGCAAGUUGCGCCCGAAGCCGUUAGGCCGAGGGCACGCCUGCCUGGGUGUCACACAUCGUUGCCCCAAUGCCAAUCGCCUCACUUUGUAGGUAUUUGCUUGGGGUGAAUGUUGGCCUCCCGUGAGCUUUUGUCUCACGGUUGGUUGUAAAUCGAGUGCAUGGUGUCGGGUGUACCAUGAUGGAUGGUGGUUGAGUGAUGAUGCUCGAGACCAAUCAUGGGUAACUCCACCAGAAUUGGGCUCGGUGACCCACAUGCGUCCCUUGGAUGCUCCCUAAGGAGACCUCAGGUCAGGCGGGGCUACCCGCUGAGUUUAAGCAUAUCAAUAAGCGGAGGA
rnacentral:misc_RNA from 1 species